UUGGUCCUGCAGUGUUGGCGUUGAGGCCGCUCUAGUUUUAAACCUACAUUGUUUCUAAGGGAGCUCGGGUUCAUUGGUGGCUGUCAAGCCGUAUUAAAAAGCGGAAGACAAAAACUAAUGAUAGGGCACCCACCUGCGAGAGCGGGUUUAGAAACUUGCGGCAAGCGGCUCUGCGGGAUAUCU
rnacentral:other from 1 species